rnacentral:rRNA from 1 species
UACGUAGGAUGCAAGCGUUAUCCGGAAUGAUUGGGCGUAAAGCGUCCGCAGGUGGCAAUGUAAGUCUGCUGUCAAAGCGUCUGGCUCAACCAGAUAAAGGCAGUGGAAACUACAUAGCUAGAGUAAGGUAGGGGUAGAGGGAAUUCCUGGUGUAGCGGUGAAAUGCGUAGAGAUCAGGAAGAACACCGGUGGCGAAAGCGCUCUGCUGGACCUUAACUGACACUGAGGGACGAAAGCUAGGGGAGCGAAUGGG